UGCACUUUAGCCUGGGUGACAAAGUGAGACCCUGUCUCCAAAAAAAAAGCAAGACAAUCAUGUGUGUCUCUCUCUUAUUUCUCCUAGUCUACUGAUUGCAUCACAAGCAUUGUGGGUCACAUUCCAGAGCCUUCUGAGAAGGGAGAAGUCAGGGAAGUUCCUUUUGUUCUUCUGAGCGUUCUCUGCAAGUCAAACUGGGGAGAGUUCCAGUCCUGUGGGGUGGGAGCAGCUGUGAAGAGGCUGGAAUCGGAGGGAACUUUGGGGCCUGGAGGCCUAAUGGAGGACUCUGUGAUGUUGGACUAUGUUGUGUCGUUACCCUCCCUGCCUCUGCAUCCUCUUCUGUGGAGCAGGGACAAUGACAGCAGCCAUCCUGGGAGAGCAUCAUGAUGACCAAAUGGAAGGAAACAGAGGGGUGGAGGUGUAGAGAGGUGAAAUAAAGCUCUGAGUCUGACCUCCAGGUUGGUCCCAGGCAAGAUUAGCAGCCUGAGGGGUCCGGCUUCCACACGGUAGCAUGAAUAGCAUGUUCAAUAGAAAACCGGACCCAUACCCCACACGGCAGAGGGCUAGGCUUGAGCACAGACACUACCUUUGUCCUGAGAUUUCUACAUGGCAAUGAAACUUCGAGCUAAUUUUCUCCUGACUGGUGGUCAGUUCCUGAAUUUCAUGGGCAUAUCAAUCAUUCCUUUAGCUCAACGUUUUUACUCCAUUCAUUCACCCGAUUGUAAGUGAGCGCCUAUCUUGUACAGAGGUGCACUGCAGACAGAGGGAAAACAACUGGCUCUUGCCUUCAGGAGCCCUCGCUGCCUCCCCUGCUAUAGAGUUAAUGAAGUUAGAUGAAGGGGUCCAGGAGGCUGUGUGAACACAAAGCCUUGCCAGCUAAGUCAGAGAGGAGGGUCCUGCAGUAAUAUCCCCAAAUGUAAAAUGAAAAAUAAAUACCUUCAACAGGGUUCUCAGGAGGUGAGCUGAGCUACUGCUGGCAAAAUCCCUUGUACAGAGUGGAUGUCAACAAAUAUUCCCUCCCCUCCCUAAUGUGCUCUCAGUUAUGUACCUGGAUGUUAAUAAGGGAGCUGAGAGAAAAGUUUGCUAGGAGGGCGGAGAAAGUUUCCACCCUCCUCGGGGGAAGAGGUCGGGGACAGAAAGGGGAGGCCUGGGGCUCAGAGACCAACGUCUCAUGUCUUCUACCACAUGGCCACGUGGCUCGCCCCUUGACUCACUCUGGUCUCUGCUCGAAUGUCCCCUUACAUGAGAGGCCUUUCUGGACCACCCACCCCAUCACUCUCUAUCUCCUUACCCUGCUUUAUUUCCAUUCCUUGCACUUAUCUCCACUAGACAUAUCAUCCAUUUGUUUGUUCAGCUGUCUUUCCAUCCAAAGUGUGCACCUCAUGAUUACAGGGACUUUGUUUUGCUCACUGCUGGGAUCAGAUCUCAGCUCUGCCAAUUAUUAGUUAAUUUGAUCUUGCUCAAGUUAGCCCCAUCUCUCUACCUGUUUCACAGGGUCAUUUUGAUAAUUAAAUGCACUAUUAAUAAAGCAGUACUUGGCACGGUGCCUGGCACAUCAUAAUUUCUCAAUAAACGAUAGCUAUUAUUAUGA